GACGAACGCUGGCGGCGUGCCUAAUACAUGCAAGUCGAACGCAGUGGGGACGGGUGAGUAACACGUGGGUAACCUCCCAUCAGAGGGGAUAACACUUGGAAACAGGUGCUAAACCUAUACUUAUGGAUGGACCCUCGGUGCAUUAGCUAGUUGGUGAGGUAACGGCUCACCCAGGCCAAGAUGCAUAGACGGACUGAGAGGGGGAACGGCCAAAAUGGGACUGAGAACACGCCCAGACUCCUACGGGAGGCAGCAGUAGGGGAACUGCGGCAAAGGAAGAAAGUCUGACCGAGCAACGCCGCGUGAGUGAAGAAGGUUUUCGGAUCGGAAAACUCUGUUGUUAGAGAAGCGGUAUCUAACCAGAAAGCCACGGCUAAAUACGGGCCAGCAGCCGCGGUAAUUC
rnacentral:rRNA from 1 species